UAGUAGACCUAACCAGGAACAGAUGCAGAAAAUGACAUUACAGGUCUUGUAGUUGCAUUUUUCGCAGCUGUUCCUGGUUAGGUCUACUAAAU